rnacentral:rRNA from 1 species
AUUGAACGCUGGCGGCAGGCUUAACACAUGCAAGUCGAGCGGAGUGAUGGUGCUUGCACUAUCACUUAGCGGCGGACGGGGGUGUAAUGCUUAGGAAGCUGCCUAUUAGUGGGGGACAACAUCUCGAAAGGGCUGCUAAUAUCGCAUACGUCCUACGUGAGAAAGCAGGGCAUCACUUGUGACCUUGCGGUAAUAGAUGAGACUAAGUCGGAUUAGCUAGUUGGUGGGGUAAAGGCCUACCAAGGCGACGAUCUGUAGCGGGUCGGAGAGGAUGAUCCGCCACACUGGGACUGAGACACGGCCCAGACUCCUACGGGAGGCAGCAGUGGGGAAUAUUGGACAAGUGGGGGAACCCUGAUCCAGCCAUGCCGCGUGUGUGAAGAAGGCCUUAUGGUUGUAAAGCACUUUAAGCGAGGAGGAGGCUCUUUUGGUUAAUACCCAAGAUGAUUGGACGUUACUCGCAGAAUAAGCACCGGCUAACUCUGUGCCAGCAGCCGCAGUAA